CCGAAGUCAGUGACCCAACCGCAAGGAGGGAGCUGCCGAAGGCGGGACCGAUAACUGGGGUGAAGUCGUAACAAGGUAGCCGUAUCGGAAGGUGCGGCUGGAUCACCUCCUUUCUAAGGAA
rnacentral:rRNA from 1 species